CUGCCGCCACACCCGCUCCCCACAUUAAGUAACCUGUCUUGUUGUAGUUACCAACUUCUCAUGGGCCAGGACUCUUAUCUGCAAGCAAGAGAAGACAGGUGCUGAGGCAUAAAAGAGAAAGGUUGUUAAGCUAUGAGGUUUGAGGAUUUCCGAAGAAGGAUUAGGGAAGUUGGUUCAGCCUGUGAUUCCAGGAGAAGAAUCAAGGAGAAGAAGAAGGAUGGGGACAGUGAGGAGGAAACCCUAUGUCAGAUCACACCACAGGCUGCAAGCACAGAUGAGGCU
rnacentral:lncRNA from 1 species